rnacentral:rRNA from 1 species
CAAUAGCGUAUAUUAAAGUUGUUGCAGUUAAAAAGCUUGUAGUUGGAUUUCUGGUGGGAGCGAUCGGUCUGGCGCUUAGCGCGAGUACUUGCAUCGUCUCCGGCCAUCCUUGGGGAGAGUCUGUCUGGCAUUAGGUUGUCGGGCAGAGGAUCCUCAUCGUUUACUGUGAAAAAAUUAGAGUGUUCAAAGCAGGCUUAUGCCGUUGAAUAUAUUAGCAUGGAAUAAUAAGAUAGGACUUUGGUACUAUUUUGUUGGUUUGCGCACCAAAGUAAUGAUUAAUAGGGACAGUUGGGGGUAUUCGUAUUCCGUUGUCAGAGGUGAAAUUCUUGGAUUUACGGAAGACGAACUACUGCGAAAGCAUUUACCAAGGAUGUUUUCAUUAA